rnacentral:rRNA from 1 species
UACGUAGGGUCCGAGCGUUAAUCGGAAUUACUGGGCGUAAAGCGUGCGCAGGCGGUUUUGUAAGCCAGAUGUGAAAGCCCCGGGCUUAACCUGGGAAUGGCAUUUGGGACUGCAAGGCUGGAGUACGACAGAGGGAGGUGGAAUUCCAGGUGUAGCAGUGAAAUGCGUAGAGAUCUGGAGGAACACCGAUGGCGAAGGCAGCCUCCUGGGCUAGUACUGACGCUCAUGCACGAAAGCGUGGGGAGCAAACAGG